UGGGGGAUAUUGCACAAUGGGCGCAAGCCUGAUGCAGCCAUGCCGCGUGUGUGAAGAAGGCCUUCGGGUUGUAAAGCACUUUCAGCGAGGAGGAAGGGUAGUGUGUUAAUAGCACAUUGCAUUGACGUUACUCGCAGAAGAAGCACCGGCUAACUCCGUGCCAGCAGCCGCGGUAAUACGGAGGGUGCAAGCGUUAAUCGGAAUUACUGGGCGUAAAGCGCACGCAGGCGGUUUGUUAAGUCAGAUGUGAAAUCCCCGCGCUUAACGUGGGAACUGCAUUUGAAAC
rnacentral:rRNA from 1 species